GGUCAUAAUGGAUUUGAAUCUUCAUACAUCGUCAGCCCAUUCCAGAUUACUCCUAACAGUUUCCAAUUUGCCAUCAGUUAAAUUCCAAUUUAUCUUCAUGUUAAUAUCAUGUCUUGCAACUGGGAUUAAGCUUCCUUUAAUUAAACUCGAAUAAUGUCUAACUCAAGCUUGGGGUCUCAAUUGACGGUUGUUCUAGGCCCUAUGGCAUUAUUCAUUUCUA
rnacentral:lncRNA from 1 species